rnacentral:rRNA from 1 species
AGUGAACGCUGGCGGUAGGCCUAACACAUGCAAGUCGAACGGCAGCACAGUAAGAGCUUGCUCUUACGGGUGGCGAGUGGCGGACGAGUGAGGAAUACAUCGGAAUCUACUUUGUCGGGGGGGAUAACGGAGGGAAACUUACGCUAAUAACGCAUACGACCAACGGGUGAAAUCAGGGGAUCUUGGGAGCUUGCGCGAGUGAAUGAGACGAUGUCGGAUUAGCUAGUUGGCGGGGUAAAGGCGCACCAAGGCGACGAUCCGUAGCUGGUCUGAGAGGAGGAUCAGCCACACUGGAACUGAGACACGGUCCAGACUCCUACGGGAGGCAGCAGUGGGGAAUAUUGGACAAUGGGCGCAAGCCUGAUCCAGCCAUACCGCGUGGGUGAAGAAGGCCUUCGGGUUGUAAAUCCCUUUUGUUGGGAAAGAAAAGCAGCAGGUUAAUCCCCCGCUGUUCUGACGGUACCCAAAGAAUAAGCACCGGCUAACUUCGUG